GCUGGUGCUAAAAGGAAUUGAAAUUGGCUGUUUGGGCUGAAAUAAAGCAUUGGGCUGAGUAUCAAGAGCUACAACUAAAACGUUGAAGUUGUUUUGCUGAAACUGGGCUAAGCCAAUAAUGGGAUGCAUGAAUGAAUCAUACUAUGCGUUUUGAGUGGAUUAGAAAAGAAGACUCUGUUGGUGCUGAAAUAACAGGGGCAAACAAUUAUUUAAUAUGGGCUCGAGUUGGAUUGAAGCCUUUAUGCUGAGAAAAUGAAACGCAGCGUAUAUAGGACAUAACUGCUGAGUCCUUAUCAUUUGUGCAAAAAGGGGUAAAAUCAAUUGAAGUUUCCCCAAAUUCUCUCAACCCUCGAGCUAGGGUUCCUCAAGCACAAAAGAAGAAGGGUGUUUCAUCCUACACCUCCAAGCUUUCAUCCUGCACCUCCAAAAAUUACCAUUUUAACCUUAAUUAAUAUUAUUUUAAUAUUUUCUCUUUCUUUAUAAAGUCAUUCUGCACCUCUCUAAUUUUUUCUCUUUCUUAUUAAAGUCAACCUANNN
rnacentral:lncRNA from 1 species